rnacentral:rRNA from 1 species
CCGGGGCUAAUACCGGAUAUGAAAUCUGCGGGCAUCCGCGGAUUUGGAAAGUUUUUCGGUUGAAGAUGAUCUCGCGGCCUAUCAGCUUGUUGGUGAGGUAAUGGCUCACCAAGGCGACGACGGGUAGCCGGCCUGAGAGGGCGACCGGCCACACUGGGACUGAGACACGGCCCAGACUCCUACGGGAGGCAGCAGUGGGGAAUAUUGGGCAAUGGAGGAAACUCUGACCCAGCGACGCCGCGUGCGGGAUGAAGGCCUUCGGGUUGUAAACCGCUUUCAGCAGGGAAGAAGCGAAAGUGACGGUACCUGCAGAAGAAGCACCGGCUAACUAUGUGCCAGCAGCCGCGGUAAUACAUAGGGUGCAAGCGUUGUCCGGAAUUAUUGGGCGUAAAGAGCUCGUAGGUGGUUCGUCACGUCGGAUGCGAAACUCUGGGGCUUAACCCCAGACCUGCAUUCGAUACGGGCGAGCUUGAGUAUGGUAGGGGAGUCUGGAAUUCCUGGUGUAGCGGUGGAAUGCGCAGAUAUCAGGAGGAACACCAAUGGCGAAGGCAGGACUCUGGGCCAUUACUGACACUGAGGAGCGAAAGCGU